UUUUCGGUUGGGGCGACCUUGGAGAAAAACAGAUCCUCCAAAAAUAAGACUACACCUCUUAACCAAGAGCGACACCUCAACGUACUAACAGUAACCAGACCCAAUAUAAUUGACCAAUGGACCAAGCUACCCCAGGGAUAACAGCGCAAUCCCCUCCAAGAGCUCAUAUCGACGAGGGGGUUUACGACCUCGAUGUUGGAUCAGGACAUCCUAAUGGUGCAGCCGCUAUUAAGGGUUCGUUUGUUCAACGAUUAAUAGUCCUACGUGAUCUGAGUUCAGACCGGAGCAAUCCAGGUCGGUUUCUAUCUAUGACAAACUUUUCCCAGUACGAAAGGACCGGAAAAGUGAGGCCCAUACCACAAGCACGCCUCCCCCCAAGUAGUGAACCCAACUGAACUACCAAACAGGCCACCCAUCUCCACACCAUCCUAGAAAAGGACCGCUAGCGUGGCAGA
rnacentral:ncRNA from 1 species